UACAGAGGUCCCGAGCGUUGUUCGGAUUCACUGGGCGUAAAGGGUGCGUAGGUGGUGAGGUAAGUCGGAUGUGAAAUCUCCGGGCUCAACCCGGAAAUGGCAUUGGAAACUACCUUGCUGGAGGAUUUGAGGGGGGAUUGGAAUACUUGGUGUAGCAGUGAAAUGCGUAGAUAUCAAGUGGAACACCGGUGGCGAAGGCGAAUCCCUGGAAAAUACCUGACACUGAGGCACGAAAGCUAGGGGAGCAAACAGG
rnacentral:rRNA from 1 species